UCCCUGGUGGCUCAGUGGUAAAGAACCUGCCUGCAAUGCAGGAGACACAGGUUCAAUCCCUGGAUUGGGAA
rnacentral:tRNA from 1 species